AUCCUGAGUACGACGGAGCACGUGAAAUUCCGUCGGAAUCUGGGAGGACCAUCUCCUAAGGCUAAAUACUCUCUAGUGACCGAUAGUGAACCAGUACCGUGAGGGAAAGGUGAAAAGUACCCCGGAAGGGGAGUGAAAGAGAACUUGAAACCGUGUGCUUACAAGUAGUCAGAGCCCGUUAAUGGGUGAUGGCGUGCCUUUUGUAGAAUGAACCGGCGAGUUACGAUUUGAUGCAAGGUUAAGCAGCUAAUGUGGAGCCGUAGCGAAAGCGAGUCUGAAUAGGGCGUUUAGUAUUUGGUCGUAGACCCGAAACCAGGUGAUCUACCCUUGGUCAGGUUGAAGUUCAGGUAACACUGAAUGGAGGACCGAACCGACUUACGUUGAAAAGUGAGCGGAUGAACUGAGGGUAGCGGAGAAAUUCCAAUCGAACUUGGAGAUAGCUGGUUCUCUCCGAAAUAGCUUUAGGGCUAGCCUCAAGUGAUGAUUAUUGGAGGUAGAGCACUGUUUGGACGAGGGGCCCUUCUCGGGUUACCGAAUUCAGACAAACUCCGAAUGCCAAUCAAUUUAACUUGGGAGUCAGAACAUGGGUGAUAAGGUCCGUGUUCGAAAGGGAAACAGCCCAGACCACCAGCUAAGGUCCCAAAAUAUAUGUUAAGUGGAAAAGGAUGUGGCGUUGCCCAGACAACUAGGAUGUUGGCUUAGAAGCAGCCAUCAUUUAAAGAGUGCGUAAUAGCUCACUAGUCGAGUGACACUGCGCCGAAAAUGUACCGGGGCUAAACAUAUUACCGAAGCUGUGGAUUGUCCGUAGGACAAUGGUAGGAGAGCGUUCUAAGGGCGUCGAAGCAUGAUCGCAAGGACAUGUGGAGCGCUUAGAAGUGAGAAUGCCGGUGUGAGUAGCGAAAGACGGGUGAGAAUCCCGUCCACCGAUUGACUAAGGUUUCCAGAGGAAGGCUCGUCCGCUCUGGGUUAGUCGGGUCCUAAGCUGAGGCCGACAGGCGUAGGCGAUGGAUAACAGGUUGAUAUUCCUGUACCACCUAGUAUCGUUUUAAUCGAUGGGGGGACGCAGUAGGAUAGGCGAAGCGUGCUAUUGGAUUGCACGUCCAAGCAGUAAGACUGAGUGUUAGGCAAAUCCGGCACUCAUAAGGUCAAGCUGUGAUGGGGAGAGGAAAUUGUUUCCUCGAGUCGUUGAUUUCACACUGCCAAGAAAAGCCUCUAGAUAGAUAACAGGUGCCCGUACCGCAAACCGACACAGGUAGUCAAGAUGAGAAUUCUAAGGUGAGCGAGCGAACUCUCGUUAAGGAACUCGGCAAAAUGACCCCGUAACUUCGGGAGAAGGGGUGCUCUUUAGGGUUAACGCCCAGAAGAGCCGCAGUGAAUAGGCCCAAGCGACUGUUUAUCAAAAACACAGGUCUCUGCUAAACCGUAAGGUGAUGUAUAGGGGCUGACGCCUGCCCGGUGCUGGAAGGUUAAGAGGAGUAGUUAGCUUCUGCGAAGCUACGAAUCGAAGCCCCAGUAAACGGCGGCCGUAACUAUAACGGUCCUAAGGUAGCGAAAUUCCUUGUCGGGUAAGUUCCGACCCGCACGAAAGGCGUAACGAUUUGGGCACUGUCUCAACGAGAGACUCGGUGAAAUCAUAGUACCUGUGAAGAUGCAGGUUACCCGCGACAGGACGGAAAGACCCCGUGGAGCUUUACUGUAGCCUGAUAUUGAAAUUCGGCACAGCUUGUACAGGAUAGGUAGGAGCCUUUGAAACGUGAGCGCUAGCUUACGUGGAGGCAUUGGUGGGAUACUACCCUAGCUGUGUUGGCUUUCUAACCCGCACCACUUAUCGUGGUGGGAGACAGUGUCAGGUGGGCAGUUUGACUGGGGCGGUCGCCUCCUAAAAGGUAACGGAGGCGCUCAAAGGUUCCCUCAGAAUGGUUGGAAAUCAUUCAUAGAGUGUAAAGGCAUAAGG
rnacentral:rRNA from 1 species